rnacentral:rRNA from 1 species
CUACGGGACGCUGCAGUCAAGAAUCUUCCUCAAUGCACGAAAGUGUGAAGGAGCGACGCCGCGUGAUCGAAGAAGCCCCUCGGGGUGUAAAGAUCUUUUCUCAAGGAAGAACCAAUGACGGUACUUGAGGAAUAAGGGGCUGCUAAACUCGUGCCAGCAGCAGCGGUAAUACGAGUGCCCCAAGCGUUAUCCGGAUUUAUUGGGCGUAAAGAGUUCGUAGCCGUCUUUGUAAGUCUUUCGUCAGAUCUUAUGGCUCAACUGUAAGACUGCGGGAGAAACUGCUUGGAUAGAGACCGGGAGAGGCAAGUGGAAUUGCCGGUGUAACGGUCAAAUGUGUUAAUAUCGGCAAGAACACCAAAUGCGAAGGCAUCUUGCUAGAACGGUUCUGACGGUGAGGAACGAAAGCGUGGGGAGCGAAUGGGAUUAGAUACCCUUGUAGUC